UCAUCAUGCCCCUUAUGACCUGGGCUACACACGUGCUACAAUGGUUGGUACAACGAGUUGCGAGUCGGUGACGGCGAGCUAAUCCUCUUAAACGCCAAUCUCAGUUCGGAUUGUAGGCUGCAACUCGCCUACAUGAAGUCGGAAUCGCUAGUAAUCGCGGAUCAGCACGCCGCGGUGAAUACGUUCCCGGGCCUU
rnacentral:rRNA from 1 species